rnacentral:rRNA from 1 species
AGAGUUUGAUCCUGGCUCAGAUUGAACGCUGGCGGCAUGCCUUACACAUGCAAGUCGAACGGUAACAGGCCGCAAGGUGCUGACGAGUGGCGAACGGGUGAGUAAUGCAUCGGAACGUGCCCAGUAGUGGGGGAUAGCCCGGCGAAAGCCGGAUUAAUACCGCAUACGACCUACGGGUGAAAGCGGGGGACCGAAAGGCCUCGCGCUAUUGGAGCGGCCGAUGCCAGAUUAGGUAGUUGGUGGGGUAAAGGCCUACCAAGCCUACGAUCUGUAGCUGGUCUGAGAGGACGACCAGCCACACUGGGACUGAGACACGGCCCAGACUCCUACGGGAGGCAGCAGUGGGGAAUUUUGGACAAUGGGCGCAAGCCUGAUCCAGCCAUGCCGCGUGCGGGAAGAAGGCCUUCGGGUUGUAAACCGCUUUUGUCAGGGAAGAAAUCUUCUGGGUUAAUACCUCGGGAGGAUGACGGUACCUGAAGAAUAAGCACCGGCUAACUACGUGCCAGCAGCCGCGGUAAU